rnacentral:lncRNA from 1 species
UUGUGAUUUAAAAGCACCAUCACAGACUUGAAUUAGGGGACCCUGUCAUCAUAAUCUGAAGCUAAUGACACUGCGAUUUGGUGUUGCAGGAAGCUGUGGAGACUCCCCGAUGGAGUAGUCUAGACUUCACCGUGUGACUCUGGUUUCCCUGGGAGCCCUAGGUCUUGCUGUGAAAUAGACUGAAUAAAUAUUGAGCAAGAUAGUGGGAAGGCAGAGGGAGAGGAAGAGAGAAUUUCAAGAAGACUCCCCACUGAGCACAGAGCCCAACUUGGGGCCCUAUCUACAACCCUGAGAUCAUGACCUGAGCCAAAAUCAAAAGUCAGAUACUUAACCGACUGAGCCACCCAGACGCUCUCCUCUUAAUUCUUAC